rnacentral:rRNA from 1 species
UGGGGAAUAUUGCACAAUGGGCGCAAGCCUGAUGCAGCCAUGCCGCGUGUGUGAAGAAGGCCUUCGGGUUGUAAAGCACUUUCAGCGAGGAGGAAGGUGGUGGACUUAAUACGUUCAUCAAUUGACGUUACUCGCAGAAGAAGCACCGGCUAACUCCGUGCCAGCAGCCGCGGUAAUACGGAGGGUGCAAGCGUUAAUCGGAAUUACUGGGCGUAAAGCGCACGCAGGCGGUUUGUUAAGUCAGAUGUGAAAUCCCCGGGCUCAACCUGGGAACUGCAUUUGAAACUGGCAAGCUAGAGUCUCGUAGAGGGGGGUAGAAUUCCAGGUGUAGCGGUGAGAUGCGUAGAGAUCUGGAGGAAUACCGGUGGCGAAGGCGGCCCCCUGGACGAAGACUGACGCUCAGUGCGAAGCGUGGGGAGCAAACAGGAUUAGA